AACUUCGUUAAAAGGGAGUAGCUGCCUUGUAAAAGGUGAUAAAGUCAACAUACUGACCUUUGGUCUGGCUUUAUCGUAACUAAUCUUAGUUA
rnacentral:sRNA from 2 species